rnacentral:rRNA from 1 species
AUACGGAGGGUGCGAGCGUUAAUCGGAAUCACUGGGCGUAAAGCGCACGUAGGCUGUCUGGCAAGUCAGGGGUGAAAUCCAGCGGCUCAACCGCGGAACUGCCUUUGAAACUGUCAGACUUGAGUAUCGGAGAGGGUGGCGGAAUUCCAGGUGUAGGAGUGGAAUCCGUAGAUAUCUGGAAGAACACCGGUGGCGAAGGCGGCCACCUGGACGAAAACUGACGCUGAGGUGCGAAAGCGUGGGUAGCAAACAGGAUUAGAUACCCGGGUAGUCCACGCUGUAAACGAUGGAUGCUGGGUGCUGGGAGCAUAGCUUUCGGCGCCGUAGUUAACGCGAUAAGCAUCCCGCCUGGGGAGUACGGUCGCAAGGCUGAAACUCAAAUGAAUUGACGGGG